rnacentral:rRNA from 1 species
GAAUUUUGGACAAUGGGCGAAAGCCUGAUCCAGCAAUGUCGCGUGCAGGAUGAAGGCCUUCGGGUUGUAAACUGCUUUUGUACGGAACGAAAAAGCUCCUUCUAAUACAGGGGGCCCAUGACGGUACCGUAAGAAUAAGCACCGGCUAACUACGUGCCAGCAGCCGCGGUAAUACGUAGGGUGCGAGCGUUAAUCGGAAUUACUGGGCGUAAAGCGUGCGCAGGCGGUUAUGUAAGACAGAUGUGAAAUCCCCGGGCUCAACCUGGGAACUGCAUUUGUGACUGCAUGGCUAGAGUACGGUAGAGGGGGAUGGAAUUCCGCGUGUAGCAGUGAAAUGCGUAGAUAUGCGGAGGAACACCGAUGGCGAAGGCAAUCCCCUGGACCUGUACUGACGCUCAUGCACGAAAGCGUGGGGAGCAAACAG